CCUUAAGCUGACUUGGUGAAGCUAGUGGGAAAAUCAUGAUAAGCUGGUUCAUCUGACCUCAUCCUCUAAAUCAAUUAAAUCUUCUAAAAUUAUUAGGUCCUUAAAAUGAAAUAGUUAUGGUGAUAACUAAAUCAUAGCCUCCCAUUAUAUGGAUGAUAAUAGAUCCAUCAGUAGGAUAAUCAUUGGAGGCCCAAAGGUCUGGUGCUUAUCGACUGAUAGAAUUAUCAUUCAUAAUAUGAUUUUAUGACUGCAUCUUUCUAAAUGGUGGUU
rnacentral:lncRNA from 1 species